rnacentral:rRNA from 1 species
AUUGAACGCUGGCGGCAGGCUUAACACAUGCAAGUCGAGCGAGCGGCGGACGGGUGAGUAAUGUCUGGGAAACUGCCUGAAGGAGGGGGAUAACUACUGGAAACGGUAGCUAAUACCGCAUACCAUCAGAUGUGCCCAGAUGGGAUUAGCGAGUAGGUGGGGUAAUGGCUCACCUAGGCGACGAUCCCUAGAUGGUCUGAACGGAUGACCAGCCAGACUGUAACUGAGACACGGUCCAGACUCCUACGGUAGUCAGCAGUGGGGAAUAUUGCACAAUGGGCUCAAUCCUGAUGCAGCCAUGCCGCGUGUGUUAAGAAGGCCUUCGGGUUGUAAAGCACUUUCAGCGAGGAGGCGUUACUCGCAGAAGAAGCACCGGCUAACUCCGUGCCAGCAGCGGCGGUAAUAC